CUCUUACUGACGCUAAAGCUCGAAGGUGCGGGUAUCGAACAGGAUUAGAUACCCUGGUAGUCCGCACGGUAAACGAUGGAUGCCCGCUGUUGGCGAUAUAAUGUCAGCGGCCAAGCGAAAGCGUUAAGCAUCCCACCUGGGGAGUACGCCGGCAACGGUGAAACCCAAAGGAAUUGACGGGGGCCCGCACAAGCGGAGGAACAUGUGGUUUAAUUCGAUGAUACGCGAGGAACCUUACCCGGGCUUGAACUGCCAGCGAACGAUACAGAGAUGUUGAGGCCCUUCGGGGCGCUGGUGGAGGUGCUGCAUGGUUGUCGUCAGCUCGUGCCGUGAGGUGUCGGCUUAAGUGCCAUAACGAGCGCAACCCCUUUCGUCAGUUGCCAUCAGGUAAUGCUGGGCACUCUGGCGACACUGCCACCGUAAGGUGUGAGGAAGGUGGGGAUGACGUCAAAUCAGCACGGCCCUUACGUCCGGGGCUACACACGUGUUACAAUGGGAGGUACAGAGAGCCGGCCGCCUGCAAAAGUGGUCCAAUCAAAAAAGCCUUCCUCAGUUCGGAUUGGGGUCUGCAACCCGACCCCAUGAAGCUGGAUUCGCUAG
rnacentral:rRNA from 1 species